UGCGAGUCAUUGUAGCAAUACAAGGCAGACGGCUCAGUAACGCGUAGUCAAUCUACCCUAUGGACGGGAAUAACCUCGGGAAACUGAGAAUAAUGCCCGACAGAACAUUAUACCUGGAACGGUUUAUGUUUCAAAUGAUUUAUCGCCGUAGGAUGGGACUGCGGCCUAUCAGUUUGUUGGUGAGGUAAUGGCCCACCAAGACUAUUACAGGUACGGGCUCUGAGAGGAGUAGCCCGGAGAUGGGUACUGAGACACGGACCCAGGCCCUAUGGGGCGCAGCAGGCGAGAAAACUUUGCAAUGUGCGAAAGCACGACAAGGUUAAUCCGAGUGGUUUCUGCUAAAGAAACCUUUUGCUAGUCCUAGAAACACUAGUGAAUAAGGGGUGGGCAAGUUCUGGUGUCAGCCGCCGCGGUAAAACCAGCACCUCAAGUGGUCAGGAUGAUUAUGGGGCCUAAAGCAUCCGUAGCUCGUUUUGUAAGUUUUCGGUUAAAUCCAUACGCUUAACGUAUGGGCUGCCGGGAAUACUGCAUAACUAGGAAGUGGGAGAGGUAGACGGUACUCGGUAGGAAGGGGUAAAAUCCUUUGAUCUAUUGAUGACCACCUGUGGCGAAGGCGGUCUACCAGAACACGUUCGACGGUGAGGGAUGAAAGCUGGGGGAGCAAACCGGAUUAGAUACCCGGGUAGUCCCAGCUGUAAACUAUGCAAACUCAGUGAUGCAUUGGCUUGUGGCCAAUGCAGUGCUGCAGGGAAGCCGUUAAGUUUGCCGCCUGGGAAGUACGUACGCAAGUAUGAAACUUAAAGGAAUUGGCGGGGGAGCACCACAAGGGGUGAAGCCUGCGGU
rnacentral:rRNA from 1 species